UACGUAGGCAGCGAGCGUUGUUCGGAGUUACUGGGCGUAAAGGGUGUGUAGGCGGUUGUUUAAGUUUGGUGUGAAAUCUCCCGGCUCAACUGGGAGGGUGCGCCGAAUACUGAAUGACUUCGGAGUGCGGGAGAGGAGAGUUGGAAUUCCUGGUGUAGCGGUAGAAAUGCGUAGAUAUCAGGAGGAACACCGGUGGUGUAGACGGCUCUCUGGACCGUAACUGACGCUGAGACACGAAAGCGUGGGUAGCAAACAGG
rnacentral:rRNA from 1 species